AUUAUGGAGAGUUCUUGGUUCCGGAAAGGUCUAGACUCCAGAACUAUAUGUAUUGUAAGAGAAGUGAAAGAACCGCCACCUCUUGAUGUAGAUGCAUUAUUCGGUCCGGAUGAGGGUGAAAAUUCCAGUACAGAGUCAAAGCAGGAACCUUCGAGGCUUAGCAACUUGAAUGCUUUUGAUAUCAUAUCAUAUUCUGCAGGAUUUGACCUGUCUGGAUUGUUUGAGGGAGUGGAUCAAAGAAAGGAAGUUCGGUUCACGGUGAAUAAACCUGCUUCUACUAUAAUCUCUAAGCUCGAGGAUAUAGCCAAGCGCCUGAGGCUGAAGGUUAAGAAGAAGGAUGCCGGAUUGAUGAAAUUUGAAGGCACCAAGGCUGGAAGAAAGGGUGUCCUUGGUUUUGAUGCAGAAAUCUUUGAGAUUACUCCAGCUUUUCAUUUGGUGGAGAUGAAGAAGUCAAGUGGGGACACAAUGGAGUAUCAGAAAGUAUUGAAGGAGGAAAUGAGACCAGCUCUCAAGGACAUUGUCUGGACCUGGCAAGGAGAGCGACCACCGCCACCCUCACCACCUCCACCACCUCCACUGCCGCAACAGCAGCUUGUGGAACAAGGAGAAUCACAUCCUUCUCAUGAUUCGACUUUGCCAGUCACUUCGUCGUUGGAUUAACAAUGAGUACUCUCCGACUCUGUGGAUUUCACCUUUGUCCUCAGAUAUUGUUUCUAUUGUUCAAGUGGUCGGAAUUACAUAAAUGGUGUACUCAGUGAUACUCUGUGAAGUUGACUUUACUAUACUGUGUCGCAUCUUAUUGUGCUUUGAUUGUCAACAAUUUGGUGUUUUGUGGCCUGAGAUUGUGUUGGUCAUGGGCAAUGGGUACUCACAAUUCCCUUCCUUUUUAGGUUGGCAGCAUUUCUAGUUAGGACAUUAGAAUAGCGGGUCAUACACUUCUCCCGAAAAAGCAGCAUUCUAGACAGUCUCUAAUCAAAAGUAUUGCGUGUUUGUGAUACCAUGUCUCAUGCUAACUUAAAUCACUACUCAGAUCACGCUUCUCCAGUUUGAUGACAUGAUAACAAGGAGUUUUUCAAACUUUUAAUAUUGGAAAGCUUGAUUGGCUCUGUAAUACCAAUUCCACACGAUGAGCGUAUCAACAAUGAACUUUCUCCUCUCCGUAUGCCACACAUUCCUCUUCGUCUUAAAUUGCAAGGUCUAUCGCCUAUCCACUGAGCUAAUGUAAGGUCAAAUUAAUAGGACCAUGGUGUGUCAGUGUACCGCCAAUUAUCCAAAGUUCUAAUUUGACUCGGUUAUACUUUUCUGCUAGUUUCAGUGUGCCAUUCAUUGCAUUUCAAAUCAGCUAGGGCCAGAGUCCGAUCCGGUCUCUCCAAAGCAUUCGUAUCAUGUUCUGACUCAUUCGACUGCUUGAUAAUUCGGUACAGGUUUGUCUCCUGUUUUGCGGAGUUCCCCUUUGGAAUACCAAUUAACUGCUUGAUAAUUGGGUACAUGUUUGUCUCCUGUUUUGCGGAGUUCCCCUUCGGAAUCCCAAUCUUUGUAUUUUUCCCUGUUUCUGUCCCUGGAAUGGAAAUCACCCUUUUGUUAGCUGAUUUGCUUGUCAUUAGUACUGGGAGUAGCAUGCAUUUUUCAUGCUCUUUGGGCUAAAUUGUGAUUUUGCCUUUCUAAGUCCCUCUUCCCAACAGCAUAUGUAGGUUCUGUUAUUCUUGACAAUGGGGCUUGACGUUAGCUCAUCAACUUAUUAUGAUCUUUUUGGUGCGGAUGCUGUUUAUCAUCUGAUCAUUCGAUUUUGUUCCAGAAUUCUGCCUUUCAAUUUGAGUCUCCUAUUGCAAGCAAUGAAACUAUUAGGGAAGUUUCACUUCUUGAGCUUGGUCGUCGCCAAUCCACUCUUGAGUUCCACCGAUGUUGCCAAACAUUGCUAUAAGCAUUGUCCAGCUCAUAUAACACAAGCUACAUCUAUUCUCUAUGCAAAAAUUGAGCAUUUUGCAGCUGUUCUUGAACUGCAGAUGCUUGUCUAACAUCUGAUGAAAAUGCUAUUGUGCCUUGCCUGUCAGAGCAACUUAGUGUGAAAUCAUGAUCACAUUGCUGGAAUUUCAUAGAAUUCUUCGACCUUAGCUGAGAUGAUUGGUGGGUUCAUGAAAUCUUGCCUCAUCUCGGUGCAACUGCACACACUCUAGACAGCAGCAGAUGCUUUGAGAGUUAUCACCAAGUGGUGGUGAACCUUUCGCUUGUUUUGGGAUGGGAAAUGCUGUUCUCUUCUCUUCAUUCAGGGCCAUAAUUUUUAACUAAUGCAGCUCUGGCAAUAGCUCCAUUCUCUGAAUUCAUGCGAAUGACUCUUUAUGUUUUUACUUGGCCAACGAGAGAAACGAGUGACCUUCAUGGACAUUUGCUAAAAACUACUGCAUGCCACUUGUUGGUUGCUACCAUUUUAAAGUACGCGACCAGCAUCGCGGUGAUCGCGUGUCGGUUGCAGCUCAUGUGACCAAUUUCAUGAUCGUCUCCGUGAGAGAGAGAGAGAGAGAGAGAGAGAGAGAGAAUGGAGACAGUUCACUAGACAAAAUCUAUUGCAGUCUUGAAGAAAAUUGUGAGUUCUUGAGUUAUGAAUCUGAGUUUGUACGUUACGCGAAUCUAAACAAUAUCUUCUCUGGCAUACUUAAUAUUCCUAGCAACUAGCAAAAACGGGUAAUUGUAAAAUUUUAUGAGAUUAUUAUCAACUAUUUUAAAAGCUGACUUGGUCUUUUGACUAGUAUUAAGGGUGAAAAAUUUAAAUAGGAAGGCAUAUGAAGUUUGAAAAUAUUAAAAUUUAAGACCUUUAGCAUUGAUAUAAUGUAAGAUUUUAUGGAAUCACUGUUAACUGUUCUAAAAGUUUAAGUUAUUAGAUGAGAGUAUGAUUUAUUAUUUAAAUAUUAUGAUAUUAUUUUAAAAGCUCAAAUUGUUAGAUGAAUGUAUAAUUUAUCAUUUAAAUAUUAUAGUAAUAGUGUUUGCAUGUCUCUAUUGCAGUCACUCAGUAUUUCUCAUUAAAAAAAUCUCUACAUCCAAGUGGGUUCACUUCACAAACACCAGCCAUCCCAAGUCAUUCAGGAAAUGUUCAGUUAAAGUUUCCGUGGACUUGGAUUUUCGUGGGACAAUCGUUAACCUUGUCGAAGGAUAUACGCCUUGUGUUUUGUGAGAAUGGAUGAUGGGUGGGCUAGGGUCGAAUUCAGCAGAUACUACUAUGAUUCCUAAUGGAUGAGGGCACUGUCAGAUCACCUGUUAUCGAUCACUUCUCCAGUGGAACUAUUGCAUUACUCACCUUGGUGUGAACUUUUUAGCAAGAACAGUCAAUCAGUUCCUAGAUCCACCGUGCCAGAGCCAAUGGGACGCAAUAAUUCGUUAUCCAAGGUACAUUCAAGGUGGGUCGGGUGAAAAGCUUAUUGUGCUGGAAUUGAGCUUGUAAAAAUUCAGAUUCUUGACCGUACGUAAAUCUGAGGAUUAACUUUAGCCGAUUUGUUCGUCCAAUCUCUUUACAGUCAUCGUGCGAGUCCCAUUCAGAACAGUUUAUGAACGUAUAAUAUGCAUGCCCCGGACUAAUACUCAUUGGUCGUGGCAAUUCUUGACCAUGCCAUCCCGCAAAGAUUGGGAAUUAUUAGAACAUACAACCCCAUGCUCCUAGUUCCCAUAGCCCGCCCGAUAAACACAGACACUGUGGAGGUGGUCGGCUCAGGCGAAUUGGUUAGCGAAAUGGUCAAUUAUCUUCUGUGAGGUCACGAGUUUGAUUCGGAUCGUGAGCACACCGAACAUAAUGUCUGUCCCACCUACUUUACUCUCAUAAAAAGGAAACAAUGAAAAUGAGUUUAAGCGAGAGCAUUGGUAGGUAAAGGAAGCAUUUUUAUUUUGGUAAUGACACAUUAGCCUUGUUGUUUCCUCUGUUCUUCUUAUGGCUGGAGAGCGAGCACGCAGCUCCACCGAAAAAAAAAAAAAAAGAGCAUUUACGCCUAGCGCCUCCACCAAACCCAGACGUGGACGUGGCGAAACGAGAGCGAAUUCAGCUGGUCGCGUAUAUAUAUUGGGUUAAGAAAUGGGUCUAUGACCAUUUUGAUAGGUCUAGCAAUUAUCCAACCCAUUUCAUCUAGGACAAGCCCUUGAGAAGUGUGUAAGUAAAUAGAGAAUAUGGUCUUCAUUUUUUUUUCUUUUUUUGUUUGGAGAAGAUAGAUAAUAGCUAUGUGUUGUUCAUUUGAGUGUUGCUUUUUAUUCUUUUAAUUAAUAUAAGAUUUUGACAAUAUAACUACAUUUGAGAUCUAAAUAUAAUGUAUUGUCUUAGAUGGUAAGGAACUUUGCUCAUUUUCUCAUGGUCAUGGUUUUGAGUCUUAUUAGAAGCUAACUCGACACUUGAUUGCUCAAUCCAAAAUAAAAACUCAUAGCAAAACAAAAAAAUAAAGGGAGAAAACCUUUAAAUAUAUCAAUUUGCAAUAGCAUAUGAGAAAUAGUUGAUUUCACAAAAAAAAAAAAAAUCUUAAACUAUUAUACCGUGACAAAUUUACUUUAUAUUAGUUUCCAUUAAAUUUUAUUUUUAAAUUGCUGAAUUGAAUGACAUAUAGCAAUCGAUGGAGUGUACUAAUUUGAGGUUUUUAUCAUUCAUUUGUUAUAAGUAUAUUGAUUUGGGAUUUUUUGUAGUAUCAAUCCAAUUUUUCAUAAGGGAUAAAUUUGAUAUAAAUGUACUAGCUUGUGGUUUCUGUUAAUCAAAUUUAUUUUUGGUUAGUGGUAGUCAAAAAAUUAAUUUAGAUAAAUUUAUCAUAAGUGUAUCGAUUAAUUUGAGCUAAAUUUGUUAUAAAUUUAUUAAUUUAAUUUUUUUUUAUGACACUAACCCAACCUUCAAUCGAACCGGGCAACCUUAGGAACCCUCUUCACCGAAGAGAGAAAGACGUGAACUUUCCUUGUUUUUUUUUUUUUUUUUUUGGUAAGGGUGAACUUUCCUUGUUACGACCGCCACAACAGGGAAAAGGGGUGUACAGGUGGCGAGAUUUUGACAAAAUGCCAAAAGCACGGGAGGACGCUGCACGUUUUUUAAUCCCCGAAGCCGUGGCCCAAGAACAAAUGAGUGAAUAUUCCAAAUGAUGGAUUGAGAAUUUUGCAGAAAUGUACGUGUGCAAGUGUGCGUGUGUGAAAUAUGGCUUGGAACCAGUAAUGAUGAUGUGUAUAUGAGUGAAUUGCUAGGGCAAGGAAACAUGGGAUAAGAAAAGAAAUACUUCUAUUAUGAUAGUUGGUAUUGCAAAGGAAAGGAAGGAGACUUUCUAAUUUUCUACUACCGAGGGCAAAUGUCCACUAACUCUUGUUUAUAGACAUGAGUUGAGUACAGAAAAUAAUAUAAAUUUCAGCUUGCUUCUUCAUCUCUUUCUUCCAGAUAUUCUCUUUGCUUCUUCCUUAAUCUGGGGUUCCCAAUACGUUUGUUGACUUUUGUUGACUUUUCCUUUUGCCAACAAUAGAAAGAGUCCAACUUCUUAUUUUCCUCCUUAUUUGUUGACUUGAAGCAAGUCCACUGGGCAUGCUUAAUUCUUAAGCAGACUUAGUUCUAGAACCUUUUAACAAUUGAGUAGCAAGUUUCUUGGUGCCAUUUAUAAGAGAUUUUUGGGAUCCCUCACCAUUCAUUUUACUUUUCAUUAACAGUGCGACCCUUCUGAUCUCACCUCGCUCCUUCUCCUUCUCCUUCUCCUUCAAUAUCAUCCUCUUCAUCUGGUCCUUGUUCUUACACGGGUCGGAUCUCUUCUGCUUUGUCAUAAAGGUAUGCUUUUUUCUCCUUUGUGCUGCUUCUGUCCUGGAAAAUUUCGUGAGUGUUGGCAAUUUCGGUUUCUUUAUAGGUUUUGGUUUCUGGGUAUUGCGUCUUUGUUCGAUUUUCCUCGUGUUUGAUGUGGGUUUGGUCUUCUUGUUGUGCAAUUUAGCUGGCACGUUGCUGUUUUUUUAUUGUGUGUUCUCUUCUGCAUUGUCAUAAAGGUAAGCUUUCUCUCUUUUUCGCUGCUUCUGUCCUGGAAAAUUUCUUGAGUCUUUAGAGUUUUUUAUUUUAAUAUUGGUUUUGGUUUCGGGGUAUUGCGUUUUUGUUCGUGGAAAUUUUCUUGGGUGUUCAGAAAUUUCGUAUUUUUUUUACAGGUUUUGGUUUCUGGUUAUUGCGUUUUUGUUCCAUUUUGCGCGUGUUUGAUGUGGGUUUGAUCUUCUUGUUGCGCAGUUUAGCUGGCACAUUACUGGUUUUUGUUGUGUAUUCUCUUCUACUUUGUUAUAAAGGUAUGCUUUCCCUCUUUUUGUGCUGGUUCUGUCCUGGAAAAUUUCUUGGGUGUUGGAAAUUUCGAUUUUUUUUUUUAUGGGUUUUGGUUUCUGGGUAUUGCAUUUUUGUCCGAUUUUCCUCAUGCUUGAUGUGGGUUUGAUCUUCUUGUUGCGCAAUUUAGCUGGCACAUUACUGGUUUAUGUUGCGUGUGUUAGAAGAUAGUAGAAAUUCUAAUAGUUAGAACAGUCAUUUUUAAUUUAACUCAUAAUUCAAAUUAAAAUAGAAUAUGUAUUUCUAGCUAAUAUUAAUAGUUAUUAGUUAUAUAUAAUAAAUAAUAUUUAUCUAAAUUAAUUAAUAUUUUUAUAUAGUUUAUAGAAUUCUAAUUUCCUUUUAAUUUCUGUACAUAUCGGCAGUUGGUUAUAUUGUACAAAGCGUUCAUAAAAGUAAGUGAAGUACUCGGUUGAAAUGGAGAACGGAGGAGGUGUUCUGAUGGACCGAUAUGAAUUGGGAAGAUUACUUGGGCAAGGGGCGUUUGCCAAGGUUUAUCAGGCGAGGAAUAUCAGCACGGGUAUGGAGGUUGCCAUCAAGAUGAUCAACAAAGAGUAUGUUUUGAAAGUUGGAAUGCGGGAUCAGAUUAAGAGAGAGAUUCAAGUCAUGAAACUAAUUAGGCACCCGCAUGUGGUGGAGCUUUACGAAGUCAUGGCCACCAAGACCAAGAUUUACUUAGUCAUGGAAUUUGCUAAAGGCGGUGAGCUAUUCAACAAGGUAGCCAAAGGAAAAUUGAAGGAGGACGUCGCACGGAGAUACUUUCGACAGCUGAUUGCUGCUGUUGAUUACUGUCACAGCCGGGGUGUUUUUCACCGUGACUUGAAACCAGAGAAUCUGCUCUUAGAUGAGAAUGGGAAUUUGAAGGUUUCCGAUUUUGGGUUGAGCGCCCUUGCUGAAUCAAAGCAUGAAGAUGGGUUGCUCCACACAACUUGCGGGACCGAAGCUUAUGUUGCUCCAGAAGUGAUCAAUCGAAGGGGUUAUAAUGGAUCCAAAGCUGAUAUUUGGUCAUGUGGCGUGAUCUUGUAUGUUCUAUUAGCUGGUCGCCUUCCCUUUUUUGACACUAAUCGUGUGCAGAUGCUCCUAAAGAUUGUAAAGGGAGAAGUCAAAUUUCCAGAGUGGUUUGCCCGGGAUGUGUGUCGACUCCUUUUGAAGAUCUUAGAUCCAAACCCAAACAGAAGAAUUUCAAUGACCAAGAUUAUGGAGAGUUCUUGGUUCCGGAAAGGUCUAGACUCCAGAAAUAUAUGUAUCGUAAGAGAAGUGAAAGAACCGCCGCCUCUUGAUGCGGAUGAAUUAUUCGGCCCUGAUGAGGGUGAAAAUUCCAUUACAGAGUCAAAGCAGGAACCUUCGAGGCUUAGCAACUUGAAUGCUUUUGAUAUCAUAUCAUAUUCUCCAGUAUUGGACUUGUCUGGAUUGUUUGUGGGAGUGGAUCAAAGAAAGGAAGUUCGGUUCAUGGUGAAUAAACCUGCUUCUACUAUAAUCUCUAAGCUCGAGGAUAUAGCCAAGCGCUUGAGGCUGAAGGUUACGAAGAAGGAUGCCGGACUGAUGAAAUUCGAAGGCAUGAAGGCUGGAAGAAAGGGUGUCCUCGCUUUCGAUGCAGAAAUCUUUGAGAUU
rnacentral:lncRNA from 1 species